AAUAGAUACCAGGUAGUCCACGCCGUAAACGAUGAGUGCUAAGUGUUAGGGGGUUUCCGCCCCUUAGUGCUGCAGCUAACGCAUUAAGCACUCCGCCUGGGGAGUACGGUCGCAAGACUGAAACUCAAAGGAAUUGACGGGGGCCCGCACAAGCGGUGGAGCAUGUGGUUUAAUUCGAAGCAACGCGAAGAACCUUACCAGGUCUUGACAUCCCGUUGACCACUAUGGAGACAUGGUUUUCCCUUCGGGGACAACGGUGACAGGUGGUGCAUGGUUGUCGUCAGCUCGUGUCGUGAGAUGUUGGGUUAAGUCCCGCAACGAGCGCAACCCUUGUUCUUAGUUGCCAUCAUUUAGUUGGGCACUCUAAGGAGACUGCCGGUGACAAACCGGAGGAAGGUGGGGAUGACGUCAAAUCAUCAUGCCCCUUAUGACCUGGGCUACACACGUGCUACAAUGGACGGUACAAACGGUUGCCAACCCGCGAGGGGGAGCUAAUCCGAUAAAACCGUUCUCAGUUCGGAUUGUAGGCUGCAACUCGCCUACA
rnacentral:rRNA from 1 species